rnacentral:lncRNA from 1 species
CUCCACCCUUUCCUGUCCAGACCACUGUGAAGGCCUUUAGUCACCUCCUAGAGAAGCAAGAUUUUCAGCCCUGGCUUUCUACCCCCACACCCUACAGCCGGCCAGGGGACAGGGUCGUGUUCACACAGUGCUAAGGGAACACGCUGACGUGUGUGACAUCAAGAACUCCAGUGCCCACACAGCCCGAGUCCGGAUGGCAGGCACAUCGGAAGGCUCACGGUCAGAGGAUGCUGGGACAAACGCCACGAGAGGUUCCUUUUUGUCUGGCUCACCCAGAAGAGAGGCUCCUCUCCUCCCUUCCCUGCAGCACAACGGCCUGGCUGGCACCCAAAGGGCAGCCGGCAUGGGCUGACCUCAGAGGAGCAAGGCGUGUUUGCAGCUCUGCCGCUCACAUCCACAGUGGCCAUGACAACAGGUGCAGCACCAUCCAUUAAAGCCCUGUGUCAUUUCA